rnacentral:ncRNA from 2 species
CUUUUAUCAAGAGCAGGCGGAGGGACAAGCCCUAUGAAGCCCGGCAACCGGUUGACCAUGGUCAAUACGGUGCUAAUUCUUGCAGCGUUUACGCUGACAGAUAAGAG